CGUCUCGCUAUCGGUGUGGAGGAAAAGCAUCGCCGCCCCAUAAUGCCCGAGCCUGUGGCUGAUGUCGCCCCCUGCAGGUUACAACCGGCCCUGCAUGCCACGUGGACCAACCAGCCAGACAGGGUUGCCAGAUCCACAUUUCCCGGCCACCAGCUAACUCUUCCCUACCACAUGACAACUACCAGCCAGGGAGCUGAAGACUAGCACGUGCUUCCUCUGACACCACUGAAGCCAACCUCUGCAUCUUUUCAGACUGCUGGGUCACAUGCCAGUGUAACACACUCGGAGGAAAGCGCUACCUGCCCUCUUCUGCAUACAUGAGCUCGCAGACACCUACGAUUGGCUAGUGUCACUGUGAUUGACAGAAGAGACACUAACAGCAUCCCUCCCACCCUGAGAUCAGCCGGGUUUCCUCUCUUGACUCCUGGCCAUGGAUUACCGUGACGUCACUGGGAUGUGAACUCACGAUCUACUAACAAACAGCUACAACUUUUAAUUCAUGAAAACGCGCCAUACAUAAUACUUUUAACUGUUCAUAGUUACAAUUAAUGUUGUGGAAAUGUCUGCGUGACAAGUUAGCAGCUCAUAUCACUUACAUUAUAGCACUUAUUAGCAAUGGUUCCAAGUUGUAGAAAAUUAAUCAACACCUCUGACCAAUCAGAUUUGCGAACUGUGCUAUGACCUGCAUAAAACAGCUAUUUUGGGAAUAUAGUUGUUUUAACACUU